rnacentral:rRNA from 1 species
CGACUCUCGGCAACGGAUAUCUUGGCUCUCGCAUCGAUGAAGAACGUAGCGAAAUGCGAUACUUGGUGUGAAUUGCAGAAUCCCGUGAACCAUCGAGUCUUUGAACGCAAGUUGCGCCCGAGGCUAUCUGGUCAAGGGCACGCCUGCCUGGGCGUCUCGCCUGCCGACGCUCCGUGCC